CCAAUAGCGUAUAUUAAAGUUGUUGCAGUUAAAAAGCUCGUAGUUGAACUUCGGAAUUUGCCCAUUGGUCAGGCUUAACUGUCUGAACUGGUGUGACGAGUUCCUACCUUCUGAGGAAUCUUCAUGCCAUUCAGUUGGUGUGGGGGGAAAUCAGGACUGUUACUUUGAAAAAAUUAGAGUGUUUAAAGCAGGCAUCCGUCUGAAUACAUUAGCAUGGAAUAAUAAAAUAGGACGGUUUGGUUCUAUUUUGUUGGUUUCUAGGAUCACCGUAAUGAUUAAUAGGGAUAGUUGGGGGCAUUAGUAUUCAAUUGUCAGAGGUGAGAUUCUUGGAUUUAUUGAAGACUAACUACUGCGAAAGCAUUUGCCAAGGAUGUUUUCAUUAAUCAAGAACGAAAGUUAGGGGAUCGAAGACGAUCAGAUACCGUCGUAGUCUUAACCAUAAACUAUGCCGACUAGGGAUCGGACGAAGUUAAUUUUUAAAUGACUCGUUCGGCACCUUACG
rnacentral:rRNA from 1 species